rnacentral:rRNA from 1 species
UACAGAGGUCUCAAGCGUUGUUCGGAUUUACUGGGCGUAAAGGGCGCGUAGGCGGUCAGCACAAGUCAGUUGUGAAAUCUCCGGGCUUAACUCGGAAAGGUCAACUGAUACUGUGCGACUAGAGUGCGGAAGGGGCAACUGGAAUUCUCGGUGUAGCGGUGAAAUGCGUAGAUAUCGAGAGGAACACCUGCGGCGAAGGCGGGUUGCUGGGCCGACACUGACGCUGAUGCGCGAAAGCCAGGGGAGCGAACGGG